AGAGUUUGAUCCUGGCUCAGAUUGAACGCUGGCGGCAGGCCUAACACAUGCAAGUCGAGCGGCAGCGGGAAAGUAGCUUGCUACUUUUGCCGGCGAGCGGCGGACGGGUGAGUAAUGCCUGGGGAUCUGCCCAGUCGAGGGGGAUAACAGUUGGAAACGACUGCUAAUACCGCAUACGCCCUACGGGGGAAAGGAGGGGACCUUCGGGCCUUUCGCGAUUGGAUGAACCCAGGUGGGAUUAGCUAGUUGGUGAGGUAAUGGCUCACCAAGGCGACGAUCCCUAGCUGGUCUGAGAGGAUGAUCAGCCACACUGGAACUGAGACACGGUCCAGACUCCGUACGGGAGGCAGCAGUGGGAAUAUUGCACAAUGGGGGAAACCCUGAUGCAGCCAUGCCGCGUGUGUGAAGAAGGCCUUCGGGUUGUAAAGCACUUUCAGCGAGGAGGAAAAGGUUGUUGGCUAAUACCCAGCAACUGUGACGUUACUCGCAGAAGAAGCACCGGCUAACUCCGUGCCGCAGCCGCGGUAAU
rnacentral:rRNA from 1 species